rnacentral:rRNA from 1 species
CCUACGGGAGGCAGCAGUGAGGAAUAUUGGUCAAUGGACGAGAGUCUGAACCAGCCAAGUCGCGUGAAGGAUGACUGCCCUAUGGGUUGUAAACUUCUUUUAUCAGGGAAUAAAAUGUUCCACGUGUGGGAGUUUGUAUGUACCAUAUGAAUAAGGAUCGGCUAACUCCGUGCCAGCAGCCGCGGUAAUACGGAGGAUCCGAGCGUUAUCCGGAUUUAUUGGGUUUAAAGGGAGCGUAGGUGGAUUGUUAAGUCAGUUGUGAAAGUUUGCGGAUCAACCGUAAAACUGCAGUUGAAACUGGCAGUCUUGAGUACAGUAGAGGUGGGCGGAAUGCGUGGUGUAGCGGUGAAAUGCUUAGAUAUCACGAAGAACUCCGAUUGCGAAGGCAGCUCACUGGACUGCAACUGACACUGAGGCUCGAAAGUGUGGGUAUCAAACAGGAUUAGAUACCCGAGUAGUC